rfam:Phaseolus vulgaris cultivar G19833 chromosome 8, whole genome shotgun sequence.
UAGCUAUGAUGAAACUGUGUCCACAGUGAUGGAUGGGUCUAUCACACUCCUCUGAUCUUCAGAAGAUUCGUGAGACAUCUGAGCUU